rnacentral:lncRNA from 1 species
UUCCCAAAACACAACUUUUACAUCAUAGAAAGAGUAAUAUUUAUUACAAGUCCUGAUAUACUCAAAGUGCAUAACUUAUUACAAAAGUAGGAAGGUAGAAACCCUCCAAAGCUCAUACAUAAACCUAGCUAGUCCUCCUCCGGAAUUGGAAAUGCCCUCCAGCCACAGGAACACUUAGAGUACUCCUCAUCACCUACAACAACAUGGGUUCGAAAACCCUGAGUACAGAGUGUACUUUCGCAAGUCUCACCCGACUAAGGAAAAAUGACUCUCAAGGAUAUGCUGGUUAAAUAGGAAUCAAGGAAAGGCUUGAGCAAGAAUCAACUUAGAUAAUUUUAUAGAAAUAGCUUACUAAAGUGAGUCCUUACUUUCAAUAUUUUAACGCUAGAUUAAAUAUUAAUAGACUCUGGUUGCAUCUAGUCUAAUUUCACCAUAUCAUAAGUACAACAUCAUUUAUAUUCAUAAUGUUUACAUCCUGACCAAGGUUGCAGGUCAGAGAUCAAGUCUCCACUAUCCAGGGAUAUAACUGCGAUUCAAAUCGAUUUACUCAGAUGAGGAUCUCUAACCACACAACAUAUGUUUCUCGUAAACCUUGCAUAUGUCUACCAUUCCCAUGGAUCGUCCACUGCAUGAACAUGUCCGCACCACCCGAGAGCACACCACCCCUUUUAGGCGGUCCUUUGCCAGGAGGGUACGUGCCACUCUCGCCAUCUCUCCACUCCCAGUGCGCGAUUGUAUUUUCAUGUAUGGAAUAGCCGGGUUCAAGCUUACCCUAUCCCAUAUUCUGGGCAUGUAGCCAGUUAAGAUAGUCCUUGAUCAUACAGGCCUACAUACGCAUCCAAUCCUUAAUUAACCUAGGUGGAGCAUCACCUGUUCCUAGCCCAAGUCUCGAGUUAAGUACUUCCAUCCUUAGGAUUGUUUUGUGUUCCUAAGGAUGAAAAGAGCAGUAUAGGGAACUUUGCAGUAAGAUCCCACCAUGCUCCCAAUGAAAAUAUUCUUGCAAGUAGAAGCCAUCCUUCGUCAGGAUAACCCAUGAGCUAGGCAUUAUUGCAAAACACAACCUCUAUCCAUAAGAUUUAAGCAGGGCUAAGCAUUUUUGUAAACAAUAUUUGAUACUUCCAAAGAAGUAUCUAUAACAGGAAUGGAUAUCAAGGUAGUCAAUGCAUCAAAUAGUUUCCAAGCAAUUCCUGUAAACUUAGUGCACAUUUCACUAGACUUAAGUGUAUAAAAAGUCUUUUAAAAAUACAAGGAAGAGGUAAAUGCACCGGGGCUUGCCUUUGUUGCAGUGAAGAGGUCUAGAUCCUUCUACCCAACCUUUAGUUAGAUAGCUCUAUCCACUUGAUGAGCAGGCACUGGAUAGACUUCUUAAAAUACCACCUCGUCUAGGUGUUC